rnacentral:rRNA from 1 species
GAUGAACGCUGGCGGCGUGCCUAAUACAUGCAAGUCGAGCGAACAGAUGAGGAGCUUGCUCCUCUGACGUUAGCGGCGGACGGGUGAGUAACACGUGGAUAACCUACCUAUAAGACUGGGAUAACUUCGGGAAACCGGAGCUAAUACCGGAUAAUAUAUUGAACCGUAUGGUUCAAUAGUGAAAGACGGUUUUGCUGUCACUUAUAGAUGGAUCCGCGCCGCAUUAGCUAGUUGGUAAGGUAACGGCUUACCAAGGCAACGAUGCGUAGCCGACCUGAGAGGGUGAUCGGCCACACUGGAACUGAGACACGGUCCAGACUCCUACGGGAGGCAGCAGUAGGGAAUCUUCCGCAAUGGGCGAAAGCUUGACGGAGCAACGCCGCGUGAGUGAUGAAGGUCUUCGGAUCGUAAAACUCUGUUAUUAGGGAAGAACAAAUGUGUAAGUAACUAUGCACGUCUUGACGGUACCUAAUCAGAAAGCCACGGCUAACUACGUG